AACGAACGCUGGCGGCAUGCCUAACACAUGCAAGUCGAACGAGACCUUCGGGUCUAGUCGCGCACGGGUGCGUAACGCGUGGGAACCUUCCCUUAGGUUCGGAAUAACUCCCCGAAAGGGGUGCUAAUACCGGAUAAUGUCUUCGGACCAAAGAUUUAUCGCCCUUGGCUGGGCCCGCGUUGGAUAAGCUAGUUGGUAGGGUAAAAGCCUACCAAGGCGACGAUCCAUAGCUGGUCUGAGUGGAUGAUCAGCCACACCGAGACUGAGACCCGGCCCAGACUCCUACGGGAAGCAGCAGUGAGUGAUAUAGGACAACGGGCGAAAGCCUGAUCGAGCAAUGCCGCGUGAAUGAUGUAGGCCUUAGGGUUGUAAAGCUCUGUUAACCAGGAGCAUAAUGACAGUACCGAAAAAAAAAGCUCCGGCUAACUCCGUG
rnacentral:rRNA from 1 species